GUCAGUCUUUAGUUCUUUUUUGGGAUCUUGCUCCCACCGAACGCCAUUCAGUUCUCAUGUAUUUUGCCAAACUUCUGUGAAAGUUCUAGCGGUGUUCGCGCCGUUGAGUGCCCGAUUUUAGUUCCAUGCACUCAAAGACCAAACACCGCUGUACAUGUUGGCGGCUAAAGAUGGCCGCCACCAUGUUCGGCCAUACGAACGGCGGCCACCCAGCCGACCGCUCAGAAUGUUGUUAUAAUUGCGCUUACGGAACAGAAGUGAAAGAGGUUAAUGGGCAGCACACGCCUGCCCUGGGUGGUCAGGCCGUCCGGUAGUUUGUUCGGUAUACAAAAUAGACAGGUCUCAGAUGUUCGUAUACCAAAUAAGCAACAAAAUUCACAGCCUGUCAUUCAGGCAUAGGGAAUCUGUCACAUGUCCCAAUCAUAAACUAUGACAAAAUGGACUUCAGGGUAGGUCUGAAAAGUGCGCCCUUAUGUGGACGUCCCGGCUAGUGUACAUGUCUAAAAAUCUGACUUAGGUGAGUGAUCCCCAGAAAGAGCACCUAUGGCCCUGCCUCUUCUUUACCCCUUGCCUUGCCCUACUACCCCACCUUUUUGUUUUCUUUCAAAAACAACUAAUGCCUGCCAUUGGAUCUCAAAACUUAAGGUUUUGAUCUUGAACGCAAAUGCAGGUUCUGUUCUAUAUACGAAUUUCUUGAGAUAACAUGAGAUAUGUUGAUAUGGGAUAUUUUGUUACUUAAAACAACCAUAUUUAAACCUUGUUGCUCCCAUGUCCAAUGUCAAUGGACUCACUGUCCUCAUAUGUUAUCAAUUUAAUUUCCUUUCUUUGUUUUUU